ACUCCUGCAGUUCCAACCCUGCAACAGCAGCCAUUCCCUGGGAAUGGUCAACAAACCUAAGUGAGUUGUUUGAAACCACUGCUUUCAGAGAAGCUUAUGUUUGAUGCCUUUUUGAGGCAUUUGACCUUUCUUGUCCACUUUAAUGAAGCCUAUGCUGGUGACAUGCAUGCGUUGCAAUUCAUGGAGGUGAACCCCCAGACUGACCAUGAGAAUGGCGAUCAGGGUCAAGUUGUCGAUACUGGUGUGGGAUUUUCUUUGAUGUACGCCUUCACACCACUCACACACACACACACCAUUACGGCUGUUAGUGGUCAUAUAGUUUUUGGCUGACCACAACCUGUUUUUUGGUGGGUUAGGGUUCAGUUAUAAUGCUACAUGUAAGAGUCAGAUGUGCCCCUAGGUUUGAAGAACAUAGAACCGCCACUGGACUACGAUGAGCUUCAACCUGUAGUUUGUUCGCCAAUCUACUGGGUGUUGUGAGCUUGUUUUGCUUAGAUAACUGUCAUUCAGUGUAAUGUGCCUUGAGUUUUCCUACUCGUAAAAAUAGAAGUUUUCCUACCCAGUAGUGCAUCCCAAAGGGAUCUUGUGUGUAUAACUGUCUGCCUUGUACAUGCAACAUUUGGCUGACCCCAGGAAUGCAAAAAGAAAUGUAAAGAAAAUAUAGCCUUUCCAAGGACUCCAACUCUCCAAUGUGUUUGAAAUCUCACAUGUCACAUAUGCUGGAAUAUGAAUUAUGAAAAGGCAAAAAAGCAGGAAGACUGAAACUAGUUCUUUGUUGAUUUACAGACUACAGUAACAAGCAGUAUCUCCAGUAACGAGUUUGAGUCAAUUAUGUCUCGCGAACUGAUGAUAUUUUCACCUACCGUGGUGGGUAGCCCUUUUUACACACACACACACACGCGCGCGCGCGCGCGCACGCACGCACACGCACACGCACACGCACACGCACAGAACAGAGACCCUGACCUCACCCAUGGGCUGUGGGAUGGGAUUUUGCCAAAAUGGUGAAAGAAUCUUUGGGUACAGUAAAGGCUCUCCUCCCCUUCACACUCCACACAUCAUUUGUGAGAGGCGACGCAACAGAGAGACCAGGGGAAAAAGAAGGGCCAAGAUAAUGUUGUCCUCACCUCCUUGAAUUUCUUCAUUCUUUAGCUUGAGAAGCUACUUUUGAUGAAUAAAAUUUGCCAGUCGAGAUAUUACCUUGUUAGCCAAAGCAUUUUUGUAGUUUAUAGUUUUAUUGUUAUCCUAAAUGGAUAACCAUUUGAUAUCAAAUCAUCAAUACUGGUUUCUGACAAAAUCUUGGUCAGUUGGUGCAUUACUGCCCGAACUAUUGAAUUUCCUUUUCUUUUUUGAACGUUGGUAGGGGAGCUGCCAAAUUCCAUUGAUUAGGGGGAAAGGUUGAAUUUCGUUUAAUUUCCAGCAGCAACUGAUUGCUACAGACUGGUACUGUGCUUUUUUCUGUUCGCUAGAUUUUAUUUUUUACUGCUGUGUCCUCUUCACUUGCCUAGAGGUACUGUGCUUUCUUCUUUUGGCCUAGUGAUUUAAUGCCUCAAGCGACUUUACCCAAGAGCUCACACACAGACAUAGUAAACAGAGGCCCUGACCUCACCCAUGAGCAAUGGGAUGGGCUAGUGCCAAAAUGGUGACAGAAUAUUUGGGUACAGCAUAGGCUCCGCUCCCCUCCACUCUCUACACAUACCAUUCAGCAUUGGCUCCGCUCCCCUCCACUCUCUAGCAAGGAUUCGAACUGUGAGGGGCGACGCAACAGAAGACCAGGGAAAAAGAAGGGUCAAGGAUACUGGGGGAACAAGGAACAGGGGGAAAGGAAGGGAUAAGGGUACUGCGAGAUGAACGGGGAUUGUGAGAACUGUGCUUUCUGGAGGGAUCAUUACUAUUGGGAACACAUGGGUGACGAGAAGAAGCAAUUUUCUGCUGUAGCCAAGGGUGAUUUCAAGAACAGCAUCGUCAGUUUGCCCUUCUGGACUCCUUCUGUUAAAUUCUUUUGCAAAUUCAUUUCAACCACUGUUGCUUCUAGAUCUGCAUCCUCCCCUCUCUUUUGUUUGCCCAUUAUGCUAUAUCGAGGGUUUUGGUGGGGGGUGGCUCUGAAUAUCAGUGGCUUUAGGAGAUUAUAGGGGGAAAAAAGGAGAUUAUAGAUGAGAACACCGGUGUUGGCUAACUAGUUAAGGAGUAAGGGAAUGGAUGUACAAGAACCUUUUUUUGAGGGUUUUGGGCUCUGAAUAUCUGUGGUCCAUGAGAGGUUGUUCAAAUAUCUUUCAAGGUAAAAUAGGUAAGAACACUAGUGUUGGCUAACAAGUCAAGGAGUAAGGGAGUGGCCAUACAAUAACUUCUUCUUUUUUGGAUAUUGUUUUAGAUAAUAGAGGCACUAGCUGAACAAUUCUUUCCAUGAUUUAAAGACUUAACAUUCUUCCUCACAAAAAGAAUUAUAAAGGCAUGUGCUUAGUUUCUUCUUGCAAUGCCGCAUUCCUGGAUAUAUUUUUAGUUUCCUGGUAUAGUUUGGCAUCAAGAUAAUAUAAUUGGUUUAGAAUAUAAGAAGAUGCAACAGAAAACACUUGGAUGAAAAAUGUUUGUGAACGUAGAAUGAGAUAAUUGGCAGUUUAAUAUAUUGUUGGUCAAUGACCAUGAAUGUCCUAUUUCAGGAUAAUGAUAAUCUGGUAACUGGUGUCACUUAAGCAUAAAUUUGCUUGUUAAUCCUGUAAUGUGGUGUUGCAAAUCUAUGAAUUUACUGUCAUCUUCUUAUAAAAAAAUCUAUGAGUUUAAUUUUGUUAGUUUUCCAUGUCAAUUGGUUAGUCCUGAAAUGUGAAAAUGGCUCAUGCAUUUCCUGCAAAUAUUUGAAACUCAUGCCCCAGAAUGUUUGAAUUGUGAAACUUAUAACUCUAAUCUAUUAUGUUCCUUGUCCUA